rnacentral:rRNA from 1 species
GCUUGUCUCAAAGAUUAAGCCAUGCAUGUCCAAGUAUAAACCUUUAUACGGUGAAACUGCGAAUGGCUCAUUAUAUCAGUUAUAAUUUAUUUGAUGAUCACUUUACUACUUGGAUAACCGUGGUAAUUCUAGAGCUAAUACAUGCAAAGGACCCAACUUCUGGAAGGGUCGUAUUUAUUAGAUAAAAACCAACGCCAGCAAUGGCCUAUGGUGAGUCAUGAUAACUGCGCGGAUCGCAUGGCCUUGUGCCGGCGACGCUUCAUUCAAAUUUCUGCCCUAUCAACUGUCGACUGUGAUAUAGACGCUCACAGUGGUUUUGACGGGUAACGGGGAAUCAGGGUUCGAUUCCGGAGAGGGAGCCUUAAAAACGGCUACCACAUCCAAGGAAGGCAGCAGG